GCUCCUAUCGUCUAGUUUGGUCUAGGACGGCGGAUUCUCAUUCCGCAAACUCGGGUUCAAAUCCCGAUGGGAGCG
rnacentral:tRNA from 1 species